GGGCGAUUAGCUCAGAGGCGAGAGCACUUGCCUUACAAGCAAGGGGUCGGUGGUUCAAAUCCACCAUCGCCCACCA
rnacentral:tRNA from 1 species